rnacentral:rRNA from 1 species
GACGAACGCUGGCGGCGUGCUUAACACAUGCAAGUCGAACGGAAAGGCCCUGCUUUUGUGGGGUGCUCGAGUGGCGAACGGGUGAGUAACACGUGAGUAACCUGCCCUUGACUUUGGGUUAACUUCAGGAAACUGGGGCUAAUACCGGAUAGGAGCUCCUGCUGCAUGGUGGGGGUUGGAAAGUUUCGGCGGUUGGGGAUGGACUCGCGGCUUAUCAGCUUGUUGGUGGGGUAGUGGCUUACCAAGGCUUUGACGGGUAGCCGGCCUGAGAGGGUGACCGGCCACAUUGGGACUGAGAUACGGCCCAGACUCCUACGGGAGGCAGCAGUGGGGAAUAUUGCACAAUGGGCGGAAGCCUGAUGCAGCAACGCCGCGUGCGGGAUGACGGCCUUCGGGUUGUAAACCGCUUUCGCCUGUGACGAAGCGUGAGUGACGGUAAUGGGGAAAGAAGCACCGGCUAACUACGU